rnacentral:rRNA from 1 species
UAGGGAAUCUUCCGCAAUGGGCGAAAGCCUGACGGAGCAACGCCGCGUGAGUGAAGAAGGUCUUCGGAUCGUAAAACUCUGUUAUUAGGGAAGAACAAAUGUGUAAGUAACUAUGCACGUCUUGACGGUACCUAAUCAGAAAGCCACGGCUAACUACGUGCCAGCAGCCGCGGUAAUACGUAGGUGGCAAGCGCUAUCCGGAAUUAUUGGGCGUAAAGCGCGCGUAGGCGGUCUUUUAAGUCUGAUGUGAAAGCCCACGGCUCAACCGUGGAGGGUCAUUGGAAACUGGAAAACUUGAGUGCAGAAGAGGAAAGUGGAAUUCCAUGUGUAGCGGUGAAAUGCGCAGAGAUAUGGAGGAACACCAGUGGCGAAGGCGACUUUCUGGUCUGUAACUGACGCUGAUGUGCGAAAGCGUGGGGAUCAAACA